rnacentral:rRNA from 1 species
UGAACGCUAGCGGCAGGCCUAACACAUGCAAGUCGAGGGAGGAGCCUUCGGGCUUCGACCGGCGUACGGGUGCGUAACGCGUAUACAAUCUGCCUUUCACAUAGGGAUAGCCCGAAGAAAUUUGGAUUAAUACCUAAUGGUAUAUAGAUGUGGCAUCACCUUUAUAUUAAAGCUGAGGCGGUGAAAGAUGAGUAUGCGUUCUAUUAGCUAGUUGGAGAGGUAACGGCUCCCCAAGGCGACGAUAGAUAGGGGUUCUGAGAGGGAUAUCCCCCACACUGGUACUGAGAUACGGACCAGACUCCUACGGGAGGCAGCAGUGAGGAAUAUUGGACAAUGGUCGGAAGACUGAUCCAGCCAUGCCGCGUGCAGGAAGACGGCCUUAUGGGUUGUAAACUGCUUUUGCAGGGGAAGAAUAAGGACUACGCGUAGUUUGAUGACGGUACUCUGCGAAUAAGCAUCGGCUAACUCCGUG